GAUGAACGCUGGCGGCGUGCCUAAUACAUGCAAGUCGAGCGAACAGACGAGGAGCUUGCUCCUCUGACGUUAGCGGCGGACGGGUGAGUAACACGUGGAUAACCUACCUAUAAGACUGGGAUAACUUCGGGAAACCGGAGCUAAUACCGGAGAAUAUAUUGAACCGCAUGGGUCAAUAGUGAAAGACGGUUUUGCUGUCACUUAUAGAUGGAUCCGCGCCGCAUUAGCUAGUUGGUAAGGUAACGGCUUACCAAGGCAACGAUGCGUAGCCGACCUGAAAGGGUGAUCGGCCACCCUGGAACUGAGACACGGUCCAGACUCCUGCGGGAGGCAGCAGUCGGGAAUCUUCCGCAAUGGGCGAGAGCCUGACGUAGCGACGCCGCGUGAGUGAUGACGGUCUUCGGAUCGUAAAACUCUGUUAUUAGGGAAGAACAAAUGUGUAAGUAACUAUGCACGUCUUGACGGUACCUGGUCAGAAAGCCCCGGCUAACUACGUG
rnacentral:rRNA from 1 species